rnacentral:rRNA from 1 species
AUGAAUUGCAUAGUGUGGAACUGUCAGGGCGCGGGGAACGCAUCGACAGUUCGCGAUCUGCAGGCUCUCUCUCGAGCCCAUCCCCCGAGUAUGAUUUUCUUAUGUGAAACUAGGCAGAAAAAAGAGAAAAUGUAUCGUCUUCGUAAUAGAUUGAGUCUUAGUGGUUUUGAAGGUGUUAGUAGUGAGGGUAAUAGUGGAGGGUUAGCUUUAUUUUGGCAUGAGUCUCUG